rnacentral:rRNA from 1 species
GUGCCAGCAGCCGCGGUAAUACGUACGUGGCAAGGCGUUGUCCGGAUUUAUUGCCCGUCAAUCCAUCGCAUGCGGUUUCUUAAGUCCGAUGUCGAAAGCCCCCGGCUCAACCGGGGAGGGUCAUGGGAAACUGGGAGACUUGAGUGCAGAAGAGGAGAGUGGAAUUCCAUGUGUAGCGGUGAAAUGCGUAGAUAUAUGGAGGAACACCAGUGGCGAAGGCGGCUCUCUGGUCUGUAACUGACGCUGAGGCUCGAAAGCGUGGGGAGCAAACAGGAUUAGAUACCCUGGUAGUCC